rnacentral:rRNA from 1 species
GACGAACGCUGGCGGCGUGCUUAACACAUGCAAGUCGAACGAAGUGGCGAACGGGUGAGUAACGCGUAAUCAACCUGCCCUUCAGAGGGGGACAACAGUUGGAAACGACUGCUAAUACCGCAUACUGAAGGCGGGGAUUGCGUCUGCUUAGGUAGUUGGAGGGGUACCGGCCCACCAAGGCGAUGAUCAGUCGCCGGUCUGAGAGGAUGACAGGCCACAGUGGGACUGAGACACGGCCCAGACUCCUACGGGAGGCAGAAGUGGGGAAGCUUCCGCAAUGGACGAAAGUCUGACGGAGCAACGCCGCGUGAGUGAGGACGGCCUGCGGGUUGUAAAGCUCUGUUAAUCGGGACGCGGUACCGGAAUAGAAAGCCACGGCUAACUACGUGCCAGCAGCCGCGGUAAUUC